CUGCGAAUGGCUCAUUAAAUCAGUUAUCGUUUAUUUGAUAGUACCUUACUACUUGGAUAACCGUGGUAAUUCUAGAGCUAAUACAUGCUGAAAACCCCAACUUCGGGAGGGGUGUAUUUAUUAGAUAAAAAACCAACGCCCUUCGGGGCUUCUUGGUGAUUCAUGAUAACUUUGCGGAUCGCAUGGCCUUGCGCCGGCGACGGUUCAUUCAAAUUUCUGCCCUAUCAACUUUCGAUGGUAAGGUAUUGGCUUACCAUGGUUUCAACGGGUAACGGGGAAUUAGGGUUCGAUUCCGGAGAGGGAGCCUGAGAAACGGCUACCACAUCCAAGGAAGGCAGCAGGCGCGCAAAUUACCCAAUCCCGACACGGGGAGGUAGUGACAAUAAAUACUGAUACAGGGCUCUUUUGGGUCUUGUAAUUGGAAUGAGUACAAUUUAAACCUCUUAACGAGGAACAAUUGGAGGGCAAGUCUGGUGCCAGCAGCCGCGGUAAUUCCAGCUCCAAUAGCGUAUAUUAAAGUUGUUGCAGUUAAAAAGCUCGUAGUUGAAACUUGGGUCUGGCUGGCAGGUCCGCCUCACCGCGUGUACUUGUCCGGCCGGGCCUUCCUUCUGGAGAACCUCAUGCCCUUCACUGGGCGUGUUGGGGACCAGGACUUUUACUUUGAAAAAAUUAGAGUGUUCAAAGCAGGCCUUUGCUCGAAUACGUUAGCAUGGAAUAAUAGAAUAGGACGUGCGGUUCUAUUUUGUUGGUUUCUAGGACCGCCGUAAUGAUUAAUAGGGACAGUCGGGGGCAUCAGUAUUCAAUUGUCAGAGGUGAAAUUCUUGGAUUUAUUGAAGACUAACUACUGCGAAAGCAUUUGCCAAGGAUGUUUUCAUUAAUCAGUGAACGAAAGUUAGGGGAUCGAAGACGAUCAGAUACCGUCGUAGUCUUAACCGUAAACUAUGCCGACUAGGGAUCGGGCGAUGUUCUUUUUUUUGACUCGCUCGGCACCUUACGAGAAAUCAAAG
rnacentral:rRNA from 1 species